CCUCUCCCACCCUCAUUUUCAUCACACAUUUCUCCUUCUUUCUUCUCUUUACUCUCUCUCUCUCUAGAACCUCUCUAGCCCCGAAACCCCCCGAAAAGCCUAGGGAACCUCCCUAGCACGUGGAAGCCCCGGAGUGCUCGACGGCUCCGAGAAGAAGAGCUUUUCGGCUCGGGAACGCUGCUCCAAGCAAUGCCCAAUUUUCUAUAAAACCCACUGUAAGUGAGCUACGCCUACGCUAUUUUUAAUAUAUCGUUUAUUUAAUUAGAGUAACGUUAUUAGGAACUUAUAAUAAGUACUUGGGCUAUUAUUAUGGGUUAUAUAAGUAUUGUUUGACGCUUAUAUAAUAGUAAUAAUAGCUAGACUAUUAAUUAGUCUCGGCGAAUAAUAGACUAAACUCUAGUGGUAAUAAUACUAGGUUUCGUCGAAGGAAAUUAUUUUUAAGAAGCGAAGCGCUGUCUGAGUUCGGAUUCACUACCUUUUCAAGUGAGUGCAUACUUAUUUUCAGCUACACAUAGGUAUGAAGUAUUUUAUAUAUAAAUUACGUGUUGUGUGUGCAUAUUAUCUGUAUACUUGCUAUCUAUGCUGGAUGAACAAUUUUAUAUAUAUUUUUUUAAAUGAUAUAAACUGUAUAUGUAUUUUAUAUCUACAAAAUGUGUUGGGUAAAACAUGGGUAGAUGUAAUAGUUGUUGUGUGACAAAAUAAAAUAAUGAGAGGCCUCGUUAUAGAUGUUAUUGAUGAUCCAGUCAUCUAGCAGAGUAUAGAUGACGACCACGGACUAUUCUAGACAGUCCAGUGGAACACUAGCAGGCUCGCAACCUGUAGGUGUUUAUUUGAACUGUGUGCUCACCAGAUGUACUCCAUCCCCCACAUGGUUGCCUUAAGGACAUUUAUUGCUGAGGAAUCCCCUUAGCAGUAGUGUCCAUCCCGAUGAUAGUCCUUAGACUAGGUCCCUUGUGUUAGAUGUUUUAGGGACGUAAAGUGAGGAUAACGGGAACGGGUAAUCGGGUUUGUUUGGUUUGAUAAAGCUAAUAAACUUAUUUAUUGUGGGUUGAAAACCCUAUGUGCUCACCAGGCUCCCAAGCCUGACCCACUCAGUUUCUUGUAUUACAGGUAGUGGCGCAUGAGCAUAGAUGUGAUGUCUUGGGAUGAGAGAUUAAUGGAUUUUAGGCCUGUAAAUACGGAAUAAUGUAGUAAGGCCUAUGUUGUAUUGUUUAUGCUUAUGAUCUGUAUCGAACAUGACAUCCUGAGUCUUUUUAAUGAAAUACAUUUCUACGGAAAUGCUUUUGAUAAAUCUUUAUCAUAUUUUGUUUUGGGACAAAUUCCGCAACACUUUUAUUUAAAAUGUUACUCUGAUUUUUAAACAAAGCAUAAACAAAAUCGGUCUUUUCUGGCCGUGAAAAUGGGGAUGUCACAGUUGGUAUCAGAGCAUUAGUUUAAGCGAACUAGGAAUUUGUAGGAUUUCUAGACUUAAACUUAGAAUGCUAAGCGAUGAUUGUGAGGUGUGAGCACUAGCUUAUUUUAGGAAUUAUGCCUAAAAUGCUUUUAUGUGCUAAAUGCUUUGUGCCUGACAUGCUAUUAUUUGUUUGGAUCUAUGGUCUGUUGCCGACCGGAUCUGGAAACCUUAUGUGUUUAGGAUUCUAAACGUACGACUACGAUAUUAGAACUAGCAUGUAAACGUUUCGGAGAGAUAAGGAUGAUUUGAACAUCAGUCCUAAAUAAAGAUCUAAAUUCACCUUAUUCGGUGUAUAGAUGAAGAUGGAAAGGACCCGCAGCGGAAAUGUAAAUGCAAAUGGAAACAGAAACCAACCCCCAGUGAUUGAGCAAAUACCGGUUGUGGAAGCCGCUACUGAGCCAAUAACGAUGGCCGGAGUGCAUGCGAUGAUCCAGACGAUGUUGGAUCGUCAAAUGGAGGAAACCAGACGUUUGCUCCAACAAAAUCAAGAGGAAGCGACCAUACAGAUCGAACAACCCGAGUUGAACGAAGGGCAGACUGAGGAAGGAAACUACAGUGGAACCGUUGGUCAAGUAAACCCACCAAUAGUCCAACAAAACAACCAAGAUGACGGAGUCGAGAGAAAUGGAUGCAAGUACAAGGAUUUUCUGACUUGCAAGCCAUCGACUUUCACUGGAAAAGAAGAUCCGAUCGGGGUCAUGGAUUGGAUCUCGGAGAUGGAGUUAGCUUUCAUGACGUGCGGUUGUAGAGGAAAAGUACAGACCACGUUUGCAGUGCGUCAGUUUCGAGGAGGCGCUGUACAUUGGUGGAAUACCUUGGGGAAGACUUUAAGCCCCAACGAGCCCCUACAACUGACAUGGGCAGAAUUUCUGGUGCAAUUCAAAUGAAAGUACUGUUCAGCUCAAAACAUGCUCGAGCUAGACAACCAGUUCCUAACCCUGAAGAAGGGAAGCAUGUGAAUCGAUGAAUACACAAACAACUUCACAGAAAAGAUGGAGUUUUCCUUGCAUCUUGUUUCGCAUGAGCUGACGAAAAUCGAUAAGUACGCAAAGGGACUUCCAUGGGAGUACGCGGUGCUAGUGCGUCAGGCACAUACUCUGGAGGCAGCUAUCUGGGCUGCCAAGUCUGUGAAGGAUAUGAUUAAGGGAAGAGCUACCAGUAAGGUUGAGGUUAGAGAGAAGAGGAAGUUUGAAGGGUCUGCUAAACCCAACAAAAAUAAGAGCAAGUUCGGUUCAAAGAAGUUCGUGGGAGGAGGAAAUGAAUUGAAAUGGUGCGAGAAGUGCAAGAAGAAGCCCUCGGGAAAAUGUAGCGAGGAAGUAACCUGCUACAAGUGUGGGAAAACGGGGCACUAUGCCAAUGAGUGCACCAUCAACAAGAGGGUGUGCUACAAGUGUCGUGAAGAAGGGCAUAUUGCUAAGGAUUGCCCAAAGAAGAAAGAUGCGGGAAGGCCCAACAUUCCACCGAAGCCGAAGGUGAGAGCCUUCCAGAUGACGCUCGAGGCUGCAAAGGAGGCAACAGAUGUUGCUUCAGGUGCCUUUCUUGUAAAUGGUUUGCCUACCAAUAUACUAUUUGAUUUCGGUGCCAACUACUCCUUUGUUUCGUGUAAAUUUGGUGGAAAACUAGCAUUACCUAUAGAAAAACUUGAUAAUUCCCUGAUUGUAGAAGUUGCCAGUGGCAAAUUCGUACAUGUUAGUAAUCGUAUUAACAACGUAGUCAUCGACCUAAACGGAAACGAAUUCCAUGAAAAGCUAUUACCCAUAGAGUUAAAUAGUUUCGACAUCGUUUUGGGUAUGGGUUGGCUUAGCGCCAACGAUGUCGAGAUAUUAUGCCGAAAGAAGAUAGUUAGGAUAAAUCAUCCUGGAAAUGAGUCAUUUAUGGUGUACGAGGACAAACGAAGAGUGAAUUCUAGAAUCAUCUCCCUGAUGAAAUCCAGAAAAUGUUUAUCCAAGGGACGUGCAUCAUAUUUGGCAUUUGUGAUUGAUGCUAAGAAAGAAAAGAAGGAGGUGAAGAAUAUACCGGUUGUGUGCGAUUAUCUGGAAGUCUUUCCCGAAGAUCUUCCCAGAUUACCACCUGAUAGGCAAGUGGAGUUUUGGAUAGACUUGUUACCAGGUACAACACUGAUAGCAAAGGCACCUUACCGAUUAGCACCAACGGAGAUGAAGGAGCUUAUGACGCAACUUCAGGAGCUGUUGGACAAUGGUUUAAUUCGACCUAGUUCAUCACCAUGGGGAGCUCCGAUGUUAUCCGUGAAGAAAAAGGACGGAAGUAUGAGAAUGUGUAUAGACUACCGCGGUGAAGAACAAGUAUCCAUUGCCGAGGAUUGAGACCUAUUUGAUCAGCUGCAAGGUUCGAGCUACUUCUCAAAGAUCGAUCUUAGGUCAGGAUAUCAUCAGCUGAAGAUAAGAGAGCAGGAUAUUGAGAAGACUGCAUUUAGAACGAGAUAUGGACACUACGAGUUCUUGGUUAUGUCAUUCGGACUAACCAAUGCUCCAGAAGCGUUCAUGGAUUUGAUGAAUAGGGUUUGUAAGCCAUUCCUUGAUAAAUCCUUGAUAGUGUUCAUCGACGACAUUCUGAUCUACUUGAAAAGCCAAGAGGAGCAUGGCAAGCACCAACGGGAAGUGUUGGAAGUGUUAAAGAAGGAGAAGCUUUACGCCAAGUUCUCUAAAUGCGACUUUUGGAUACGAGAAGUCCAGUUCUUGGGUCACAUGGUUAACCAAGAAGGGAUAAUGGUUGACCCCGCAAAGAUCAAGGCUAUGAUGAAGUGGGAACGUCCGAAAAAUCCGACGGAUAUUCGAAGCUUUCUAGGAUUAGCCGGAUAUUAUCGACGAUUUAUCCAAUGCUUUUCUUCGAUAGCUGAUCCAUUGACGGCAUUGACCCACAAAGGAGCUACAUAUACGUGGAGUGAGCAACACGAUGUGGCAUUCGAGAAGCUAAAGAAGAAGUUAUGUGAAGCACCGAUACUUUCUCUACCCGAUGGAGUUGAAGACUUCGCGGUAUACAGUGAUGCAUCUGGAGUCGGGUUGGGUUGUGUUCUGAGCCAAAGAGAAAAGGUGAUAGCAUACACAUCUUGACAAUUGAAAGAGCAUGAAAAGAACUACCCCACUCAUGAUCUAGAGUUGGCAGCGGUAGUAUUUGCCUUAAAAAUAUGGAGGCAUUACCUCUAUGGCACGAAGUGCAAGCUUUUGAAUGAUCAUAAGAGCCUCCAGUAUAUCUUUAAUCGGAAAGAAUUGAACAUGAGGCAACGACGCUGACUAGAGUUACUCAAGGACUACGACUGUGAGAUACUUUACCACCCCAGUAAAGCAAAUGUUGUUGCUGAUGCUCUCAGUCGGAAAGUCAACCUUGAAAGGAAAAGGCCAAGAGCGUUGAGAAUUGAAGUCGUCUCGACAAUUGCGGAAAGUAUCAGGAAAGCCCAAAAAGAAGCUUUAGAGAAGAAUGACCGAAAGGAAGAACGUUUGGGCAAAACGGUAGUGUUCGGUACAAACAGUCCGAUGGAAACAUUCUAAUGGGCCAAAUCUCACUUGGAAAACAGAAAGUGACAUGAUGAGUCGCUACCCACAUCUGUUUGCUGAUGCAUGAUUCCGGGACGGAAUCAUACUAAGGGGGAGAGAAUUGUAACGCCCGGGUUUCAGGGCUUAGCAUUUUUGGACGAUGUAAUAGUCUAGGUCAACUAUUGUAACUCUUUUUGAAGUAAUAAAGAUGAAAUAUUUGAAUUCUAUGCGAAUUAUGUGUAUUAUAAAUAUAUAGUUAAUAAAGAAUAACAAUAAGCGUCAAAUUUAAAGUGUGAGAUAAGUCCAACAUCUUUACAUAAAGUUGUAGUGGUCGAAACAAGGAUUCUGGGGAUAUAAAGAACGCCAAAAUCCGAGUUAUAACGAAGAAGUUAUGGCCCGCCGAAGUUUUACGGCAAAACCGGCAUAACACCGGGAGACGUAAAUAGUGAAUUUACGAUGGAGGACUUUUUAUCCUUAAUGAUCUAAACCAAAGUUGUAGUAUAUGUUAAAUCGAGAACAUCCAUAAAAAGAACGCCCAAAUCUGACUGCGUAUGAGGAAGUUAUGAUUUUUCUAAGAUUCGGCUUAGCAGUGCACGACCCGAAACACGAAUUUUAGUUCGAGCGGUUUUUGGCUUAUGCGACCUAAAUGAGAGUUGAAGAACUCAUUAAUAGGAACUCAACGGUAAAAAGACAAACGAAAACAAAGUCCGUAUGUAGAAGUUAUGAAUUUUACGCGGACGUUUAACAAUAUAAUCUCCUUGUACUGUUAAAUUUAAGAUCGGUCUAGAAUUAGCCGACGGAGUCAAAAUGAAAGUUGUAGAUCUUAUUUUUACCUACGCGUGGAUAUAAAGAACUUCAAAAACAGAGGUCGUAUGUGAAAGUUACGGAUUUAGAAGUUGGAAGUGUGCUAUGCGAAAAUGGGUGAUAUGGCACAAUCUUGGCCAUUGCUUUCUCCUCAAGUCUUGCCACUAGAUGGUGACAUGUGGUACCAAGAUCAGCCAAUUUUCACCCUAUAAAUAGAACCUCUCCCACCCUCAUUUUCUUCACACCUUUCUCAUUCUUUCUUCUCUUUACUCUUUCUCUAGAACCUCUCUUUAACCCCGAAACCCCCCGAAAAGCCUAGGGAACCUCCCUAACACGAGGCGAAAGCCCCGGAGUGCUCGACGGCUCCAAGAAGAAGAGCUUUUUGGCUCAGGAAAGCUGCUCCAAGCAAAGCUCAGUUUUCUAUAAACCCGCUGUAAGUGAGCUACGCCUACGCUAUUUUUAAUAUAUCGUUUAUUUAAUUAUAGUAACGUUAUUAGGAACUUAUAAUAAGUACUUGGGCUAUUAUUAUGGGUUAUAUAAGUAUUGUUUGACGCUUAUAUAAUAGUAAUAAUAGCUAGACUAUUAAUUAGUUUCGGCGAGUAAUAGACUAAACUCUAGUGGUAAUAAUACUAGGUUUCGUCGAAGGAAAUUAUUUUUAAGAAGCGAAGCGCUGUCUGAGUUCAGAUUCACCACCUUUUCAAGUGAGUGCAUAGUUACUUUCAGCUUACACAUAGAUAUGAAGUACUUUAUAUAUAAAUUAGGUGCUGUGUGUGCAUAUUAUCUGUAUACUUGCUAUCUAUGCUGGAUGAACGAUUUUAUACAUUUUUUUUAAAUGAUAUAAACUGUAUAUGUAUUUUAUAUCUACAAAAUGUGUUGGGUAAAACAUGGGUAGAUGUAAUAGUUGUUGUGUGACAAAAUAAAAUAAUGAGAGGCCUCGUUAUAGAUGUUAUUGAUGAUCCAGUUGUCUAGCGGAGUAUAGAUGACGACCAUGGACUAUUCUAGAUAGCCAGUGGAACGCUAGCAGACUCGCAACCUGUAGGUGUUUAUUUGAACUGUGUGCUCACCAGGUGUACUCCAUCC
rnacentral:lncRNA from 1 species